UACGUAGGUGGCAAGCGUUGUCCGGAAUUAUUGGGCGUAAAGCGCGCGCAGGCGGUCCUUUAAGUCUGAUGUGAAAGCCCACGGCUCAACCGUGGAGGGUCAUUGGAAACUGGGGGACUUGAGUACAGAAGAGAAGAGUGGAAUUCCACGUGUAGCGGUGAAACGCGUAGAGAUGUGGAGGAACACCAGUGGCGAAGGCGACUCUUUGGUCUGUAACUGACGCUGAGGCGCGAAAGCGUGGGGAGCAAACAGG
rnacentral:rRNA from 1 species